GGAGUUCUCACAGCGAGUGUUUCCGCUCACCUCCGAUAAAGAGCUGCUGGCUGGAGAGCCGAGGACGCGGAACAGAGCGGGGGACUACGCGACGGAAACCAGGGUGUUUAACCGAGUCUUUCUACCGUUCUGGCUUCAGCGUUUCCCGCAAACGGCUCCAUUAAUGUCUCGAAUGUGAUCCGGGAGAGAGAGUGGAGGGCUCGCUACUGGUAACCUUUACGUUGGUUAAGCCGUAGAGGACUCUCCCUGGCUGUCGGAGGAAAAGAUGUGCGAUGGAAUGGUAGCGUUUCAGACGAGAGCCUUGUCCUCUUCCUCUACCUCUACCUCCUCCUCCUCCUCCUCCUCUCGAGCCCGCAGGCUGGCGGCCUCCGCACUUCUCCUCCUCUUCAUCCUGCUCCCUCAUGGUCAUGCAUCAGGCUGUGGGCGGCCGCCCAGCGUGCAGCACGGAGACCUGCUGAACCAGACCGAGUCCAC